rnacentral:rRNA from 1 species
UACGUAGGGACCGAGCGUUGUCCGGAAUCAUUGGGCGUAAAGAGCGUGUAGGCGGCCUUUUAAGUCCUGCGUGAAAUCCUGCGGCUCAACCGCAGACGGUCGUGGGAAACUGGAAGGCUAGAGUGCGGGAGAGGAGAGUGGAAUUCCCGGUGUAGCGGUGAAAUGCGCAGAUAUCGGGAGGAACACCAGUGGCGAAGGCGGCGACCUGGACAGAUAUUGACGCUGAGGUGCGAAAGCGUGGGGAGCAAACAGG